UACAGAGGUCUCAAGCGUUGUUCGGAUUCAUUGGGCGUAAAGGGUGUGUAGGUGGCGCCGUAAGUCGGGUGUGAAAUUUCGGAGCUUAACUCCGAAACUGCAUUCGAUACUGCGGUGCUUGAGGACUGGAGAGGAGACUGGAAUUCAUGGUGUAGCAGUGAAAUGCGUAGAGAUCAGGAGGAAUACCGAUGGCGAAGGCAGGUCUCUGGGCUGAUACUGACGCUCAUGCACGAAAGCGUGGGGAGCAAACAGG
rnacentral:rRNA from 1 species